rnacentral:rRNA from 1 species
UGUGCCUACGGGAGGCAGCAGUGAGGAAUAUUGGUCAAUGGGCGCGAGCCUGAACCAGCCAAGUAGCGUGAAGGAUGACUGCCCUACGGGUUGUAAACUUCUUUUAUAAAGGAAUAAAGUGAGGCACGUGUGCCUUUUUGUAUGUACUUUAUGAAUAAGGAUCGGCUAUAUCCGUGCCAGCAGCCGCGGUAAUACGGAGGAUCCGCGCGUUAUCCGGGUUUAUUGGGUUUAAAGGGAGCGUAGAUGGGUUGUUAAG